GCCGGUACUUGGUGAAGGACAAGCAGAGGAGCGGGUUCCGGCAACCUUGACUUCUCGGAUGCCCGUAUUAUCAACAGCUGAAAGACUCCAAGAAGAAGCCGC